rnacentral:rRNA from 1 species
GUAGGUGGCAAGCGUUGUCCGGAAUUAUUGGGCGUAAAGCGCGCGCAGGCGGGUUCUUUAAGUCUGAUGUGAAAGCCCACGGGCUCAACCGUGGAGGGUCAUUGGAAACUGGAGAACUUGAGUACAGAGGAGGAAAGCGGAAUUCCACGUGUAGCGGUGAAAUGCGUAGAGAUGUGGAGGAACACCAGUGGCGAAGGCGGCUUUCUGGUCUGUAACUGACGCUGAGGCGCGAAAGCGUGGGGAGCAAACAGGAUUAGAUACCCUGGUAGUCCACGCCGUAAACGAUGAGUGCUAAGUGUUAGGGGGUUUCCGCCCCUUAGUGCUGCAGCUAACGCAUUAAGCACUCCGCCUGGGGAGUACGGCCGCAAGGCUG